rnacentral:ncRNA from 1 species
CAUCGUCUUGGUCCCAGACUUGUCAUUACUGUAGAGCUGAGAUUACACAUGCCAGCAUCCACCCCCCAGUGCGCACGCCCAAAGCACUACCCAAUAAGCCUGGAGCAGGCAUCAGGCACGCCACCAGAAGCAGCCCAAAACGCCCAGCUACGCCACACCCACACGGAUCACAGCAGUGAUAAACCUUAAGCAAUGAGCCCACCAAGCUUGACUCAGCCCCAGCUCAAAAGAGCCGGCAAACUUCGUGCCAGCCGCCGCGGCUAUACGAAAGGCCCAAAAUAAUGAACCCGGCGUAAAAAGUGACUAGAGGCCUGCCAAAUAAAGAAAUUAAAACUGCUCUUCAGCUGUAAAACGCACACCCCCAACACGAAGCCCAUCAAUUUCCCCCUCAGCCCCCUUGAACCCACGAAAGCUAGGACACAAACUAGGAUUAGAUACCCUACUAUGCCUAGACAUAAACCUGACAUCAAACACCACCUUGAUGCCCGCCAGAAAACUACAAGUGAAAAACUUAAAACUCAAAGGACUUGACGGUAUCCCACAUCAAUCUAGAGGAGCCUGUCCUACAAUCGAUACCCCACGCUCCACCCAACCCCCUCUUGUAAGUCCAACCUAUAUACCGCCGUCGUAAGCCCACCUCGUAAGAGCCACCACCGUGGGCCCCAAGGUCUCCCCCGCCCCUACGUCAGGUCAAGGUGUAGUUCAUGGGGGGGGCAGAGAUGGGCUACAUUUUCUAAUCUAGACCACACCCAACGCACACAUGAAAUAUCUGCCAAGAGGCGGAUUUAGCAGUAAGCACAGCAAGAAUGCUCGCCUGAACCCCGCCCUGGGAUGCGCACACACCGCCCGUCACCCUCCUCACCACCCAAACAAACAUACAUAAAACAACAUACAAAUAACAGAUGAGGAAAGUCGUAACAUGGUAAGCGUACCGGAAGGUGCGCUUGGUUAACA